GAUGAACGCUGGCGGCGUGCUUAACACAUGCAAGUCGAACGAGAAGUGAAGACGGAAACCUUCGGGCGGAAGGCUUUAUUUCGAGUGGCGGACGGGUGAGUAACGCGUGGGUAACCUGCCUCAUACAGGGGGAUAACUGUUGGAAACGACUGUUAAUACCGCAUAAGACCACAGCACCGCAUGGUGCGGGGGUAAAAACUCCGGUGGUAUGAGAUGGACCCGCGUUCGAUUAGCCAGUUGGCGGGGUAACGGCCCACCAAAGCGACGAUCGAUAGCCGAUCUGAGAGGAUGACCGGCCACAUGGGGACUGAGACACGGACCAAACUCCUACGGGAGGCAGCAGUGGGGAAUAUUGCACAAUGGGGGAAACCCUGAUGCAGCGACGCCGCGUGAGUGAAGAAGUAUUUCGGUAUGUAAAGCUCUAUCAGCAGGGAAGAAAAUGACGGUACCUGAGUAAGAGGCCCCGGCUAACUACGUG
rnacentral:rRNA from 1 species